CUACCGGGCGACCGGAUGCGGAUCUCGAAAGCCUGUCCCAGUUCGGACUGGAGUCUGCAACCCGACUCCACGAAGUUGGAUUCGCUAGUAAUCGCGCAUCAGCCAUGGCGCGGUGAAUACAUUCCCGGGCCUUGUACACACCGCCCGUCAAGCCAUGGGAGCCGGGGGCGCCUGAAGUCCGGGACCGCGAGUACCGGCCUAGGGCGAAACUGGUAACUGGGCUAAGUCGUAACAAGGUACC
rnacentral:rRNA from 1 species